AUUGAACGCUGGCGGCAUGCUUUACACAUGCAAGUCGAACGGUAACAGCACUUCGGUGGCUGACGAGUGGCGAACGGGUGAGUAAUACAUCGGAACGUGCCUAGUAGUGGGGGAUAACUACUCGAAAGAGUAGCUAAUACCGCAUGAGAUCUAAGGAUUAAAGCAGGGGACCUUCGGGCCUUGCGCUACUAGAGCGGCUGAUGGCAGAUUAGGUAGUUGGUGGGAUAAAAGCUUACCAAGCCGACGAUCUGUAGCUGGUCUGAGAGGACGACCAGCCACACUGGGACUGAGACACGGCCCAGACUCCUACGGGAGGCAGCAGUGGGGAAUUUUGGACAAUGGGCGCAAGCCUGAUCCAGCAAUGCCGCGUGCAGGAUGAAGGCCUUCGGGUUGUAAACUGCUUUUGUACGGAACGAAAAGCCCUCUUCUAAUACAGGAGGGUCAUGACGGUACCGUAAGAAUAAGCACCGGCUAACUACGUG
rnacentral:rRNA from 1 species